rnacentral:rRNA from 1 species
AGUGAACGCUGGCGGUAGGCCUAACACAUGCAAGUCGAACGGCAGCACAGUAAGAGCUUGCUCUUACGGGUGGCGAGUGGCGGACGGGUGAGGAAUACAUCGGAAUCUACUUUUUCGUGGGGGAUAACGUAGGGAAACUUACGCUAAUACCGCAUACGACCUACGGGUGAAAGCAGGGGAUCUUCGGACCUUGCGCGAUUGAAUGAGCCGAUGUCGGAUUAGCUAGUUGGCUGGGUAAAGGCCCACCAAGGCAACGAUCCGUAGCUGGUCUGAGAGGAUGAUCAGCCACACUGGAACUGAGACACGGUCCAGACUCCUACGGGAGGCAGCAGUGGGGAAUAUUGGACAAUGGGCGCAAGCCUGAUCCAGCCAUACCGCGUGAGUGAAGAAGGCCUUCGGGUUGUAAAGCCCUUUUGUUGGGAAAGAAAAGCAGCAGGUUAAUACCCCGCUGUUCUGACGGUACCCAAAGAAUAAGCACCGGCUAACUUCGUG